CAGCACUAGAGAGGAGGAGGCAGGAGGACUGCCACCAACUCUGGCCCGGUACGGGCAAGUGUGAGACCCUUUUUAAAAAUAAAUAAGGGGGAAGGGAAAGACUGAUAGGGAGGCCUUGGCGAAGGGUGAGGGGCAGGAACCUACGCGGCCUAAGAACCAAGCGAAGCAGCCGCCGGGAAGCGAGCCAGCGCUUGCCACAUAAUCAACCUCUGUAGCGCGGGUCACAUGAGAGUCACCAGUUUUCCGGGAACGGGGGAGGGUGCAGUCGAAGCCCGGCCCGCCUGCAGAUUCCAUCUGCCAGGGGCAAGGGAACAUUCCCCAUCCCCCAGCUCCCCUCUAGGUUGCUAAGGGAGGCUCUCGACACUGGGUGGUUUUGUUUGCCGUGUGGGCGGUGAGCCCGGGAGACUGCGGGGCAGUCAUUCUGCCAACUGCCUUUCUCAUUCGGCUUCCUUGAACUGUACUUCUACUUUUUUCUCUUUUCUUUUUUGGGAGCGGUGGCGGCGGAGGUAGGCGGCUCUAGAGCCUAAGAAAGGCCUCACAGUGGUGGUAGGGGGCUUUCAGGCUGUCCAGGCCCCGCACUGGCACCAGCGGUGACAAUUCCCCUUUUGAAAACCCUCCCCAAACCUCUGGCCCCUCCCCGCUGAGCUCGGGGAAAACGCAGAGGUUUGCGGACAAGGUGUCCUUUUGGCCGGGCCCCACCCCGCGUGGACAACCAGCCUGGCUCCCCCAAUGGUCGUUCAACCCGGCCCCCACCACAGGCCAGAAGCUGUCGCAGGGAAAUGGGGCUUUAAAAUACCACUCUUCUCGCCAUCCCGCACCCGAAAGCAAAAAGAUUAGAAAAAAAAAAAAACAACACCCCACUUUUCUGGGCUGGGCGUCCUCUGCAACCACACACAAAUUCGCAGACUCAUUUCACACGCCUGAGCUUCGUACUAAAACCUUGCAACCGCCUUUCUUCUAACCCCACUGACUACCUCGGACGCAGGUCCAGAGUCCCACUCCCCCAUCCGUGGACCGGGGAAGGGGCCUGGGAGGAGAAGGGAGGGUUGGGAAGGGAUGAGGAAGAGGCGGCAGCUGGGAUACAGGGCGAGUAAGCAGUAAUAAAUAAAUAAAUUCAUUAACAGCGCCCCACCCUAGCUGCUGAGCCGGUCCUCCCCCACCCGACCCUGCGGGCGCCCGCGCUGACGUCACCCUCCGAGCAGGCGGCGGCAACGCCCGAGGAGUCACGCGCCCGGGCGCGCCCCGCCCCGGCGGCGGACGCGCCUCUGCAGAGAUCCCUCCGCCACCCGGUGGAAUUUUCCAGGCGCCCUGCCGGCCCUUCUUUCGGGCCCCCGCGGGGCGUGGUGACCUGCAGCGACUGGUAUUUUUCCUUCCGCCCUGAGUCAGUGUGCUCCCCUCCCCCAGCCCCCCGCCCCGGUCGGGCCUGCCCACCCCAGACAGCGAAGGGCGUUUGUCCCUGACGGUAUUCACCUCCCGGAUACCAUCUUCGGGAAUGUCCUUCGUCCCCUGACGCCCUGCCAAAGGGGCGAGAAAGGCUCGAUGAGCCAUCUGAGGGAGUGGCCGUCGAUGGAGGCCACGACCCCGCCCCUCGUGGGCUGCCUUGGCUAGGUCGGGGAGGAACUUUUUUUUAAGUGUCCGUGGAGGAAUCGUUCCGUUGAGUAAUGCCCGGGUGACGCGACCCAAGACUAUAAAAGCAAAAGUUGUGUCCCCCCACCUGCAGGAGUUAGUGACAGGAAGGGCUGGCGCUUGGCUGAGUGGUGGGGAGGAGGUGGCUAGUUGAGGGCUCAGAGAAGAGAUGGCAGAGUUAGGGGCAGCCACUAGGGUUGGGGUGCGAGAAGGGAAGCUAGCUAAAAAGGGGGCUAGUGUUUGGGACAGUGGACCAGUGGAAGGCAGCUUCCGUAGCGCCUUCCACGAUCCACACAGGGACAACAGCCUUCGAGACCAGGCUGUCCCUGGGGUCUUGGAGCGGGGCCACUUGACCCCCAGGAAGGCACAGUUUCACGGGCUUACCUAGCCCACUGCCUAGCUUGAAUUGAGUGGCAGAGUAGAAAGUCUGGAGACGGGUGGACCCGGGCCCUCGAGGCCUUGGACAGGAAAGGCAGGCAGUGGGGGCAGAGCUAGGCGGGCCGUGGGUCGGCCUCGACCUUGGCGAGACCAGCAGACUCCUUAUUUUCCAGAUGAGGGGUUGUGUCCCUGCGUGGGGAUGAGGCCUGGUCUAACGGAAAGUGGACUUAGCUUCGCUGGGCACACAGCUGUGGCCCACGGUGGUAUGUAACUUGGGCUUGGCCUGACAACACCCAGUUCUGGGUGAGAGGAGUGGGCUGUAGAGGCGAGUUGUCUUUACUCGACAGGUAGGCCAGGCCCAGGGACGGCUGAGAUGGAGGGCGCGCGUCUUGGGCUGUAUUGACCACAGAUUUAUUUUUCAGAUCGCACUGCUCCCCUCUGGACUUCCCCUAGGUCCCGUGGUUCCUUGAUCGCACCUACUCCCCUCUGGACUUCCCUAGGUCCCGUGGUUCCCUCUUCUGUGAUCUCCCUCUUGCCCUACUGUUCCCUCUAACCCUGAGGUUAAGGAUUCACUUAAAACCUUGGCCUCUGGGUUAUCUGGUAAGCCUCGGGAAGGUGUAGAUCGGUGUCACAGGCUCGGACUCUGGUGCUUUGGUAUUCACUGGUAAAAGUGCAGGGUACCCUGACCGGGUGGGGAGGGUUGGGGCUUGAGCCUUGGGUGGGUGACGGCUGUGCGGUCACCAAAUGCCUCAUGGAUGUGGUUUAUUGCUAUAGUGUUCAUCAUGCCAAGCAGAUGGCACCAGGAGGAAUGGAGCCCCUGCCAGUGUGAGUCGUAGCAGUGCAGGAGGGCAGACCCUGGCGGAGACAUCGGCCUAAGUUGAUGCCCUACACAGUGAAUUCCAGAGGCUUAGGAGGUUCCGCUCCGCCAUGUGUCCAGGCCUGGUUCAGGAGGCCAACGUUUUAAGUUCAGAUCAGCUUUCGGGGGGGGGGCGGGCAGAGGCUUCCAGCUGGAGGGGCUGUCGGCUGUGAAUGUUCUGGGAGCACCAUUCUCCGGAUUCGGGAAUGCCAGCGGCACCCCCCUCUCCUGGGGGGGAGAGGCGUUCAUUCGGCUGCUGCAUCUUCUAAACCAAGCCUCCAGUCUUGCUAGUUCUGUGCUACAAACUUGGCUUCGAGAAGAUUCCUGGGGUGUAGGACACUGGCUUGAUGUCCUCCGAGAAGCGUGCCUUGUAGAUGGAGUCCGGGGACCACACCCAUCUUCCCCGCUUCUGCAGCCGGCCUCCUCUGCCUCGGUCAGAGGACUUCUUAGUGUGAUAAAACUUUUGGGUGUUGGGGAAACCUGUUCACUUACAAAUGACUUUGGGGAAGGGUAUUCUGUGGAGCCAAUUGUUAACUUGUAUGGGGGGAGCACAAACUGUCCAAGUUCUGUUGGGAUUUGUAGAUGGCGUAUCUAACUUUGGGUGGCAUCUGGUGCUGGAAGGGAAUGGUGGGCCUGCAGUGGUCCCUGGGGAUUUGAUGUCCUGUGGGUUUGGGUUUGGCGCUGGGUGGUAGGCAAGUGCUACCCAAACUUAUAACCUAGUUCUUGAUUCCUUUUGUUGGCUGGUUCUCCUGACUCGGCCUGGUGGCUGGCCUGGGUUCUCAACCCUGCUGGGGUUACAGGGGUCAUCUAAAACUUGUCCUUCUGGCUUAAGCUUGUACUGGAUCAGGCUUUUGGGAAUACUGUUACCAGAGGUGGGACUGGCUGUGCUUGGCACUGGUGUUGGCCAGAGGCUUGAUGGAGGAGUGGGGUGCUGGCAGGGGUGUGCUUGGAAAUGUGGGUCGAUGGGGGUAACAGUCUAGGAACUAAAUAGCACUCAUAGAAGGUAAAUCCGGAACAAGGGGGAACGAAUCCUUGGUGUCCUAGUGGCGGUGGCUUGGAAACUAUCGAAAUCCAAAGACUCAAAUCCAAGAGGAAAAGCAAAAUUGUUUUGCUUUGCUGUUGAAUGGGGAAUAACUGAAGUUGUGUCUGAAAACAUUUUUAUAAUUACUUGAACGAUCUUGUCAAACUCAAGAGUACACAAACAUGCCAACCUAUGGGGGCAGCUGGAAAGGGUUGCUGGGAAGCGGUUUCCAAGGAUUAAAGGGGGAGGGCUUGUGAAUGCCCACAUUGUGGGCUCUUGAAAAACCUUUGUGCUGGUUCUCCUGCGGGCUUAUCGGAUACUGUGUUAUUGGAGAUUCUAAUGCUAUCUAAAUGAAUUUGGGCGUCAUGCAUCCAUUUACAACACAUACAGGAACAUAUUGUGCAAGUCAUGCGUUACACAACACAGGAAUGUAGUGUGAGCCAUGCCUUACGAAACACAUCUUGAAUUUCUGGAACUGGCUGGGAGACAGCAGCGUUUGCACACUUGCGUCACUGUGACAAGGGGACGUGGUCUUGCGUUUAUGGGAUCACUGUUUGGAAACCUGUUCCGUGCACCUGUGCCUUUGCCAUGAAUCAUUGUGCUUUGGUUUGAAAGGCACUUUUUAACCCAUCCUCGACCAGAGGAGGAAACUAAUCAGUUCGGGAAAUAAAAAUAAAACUGGGGAGGGCCCACCUGACUAGAGGAUGAUUUGCAGAGAUUGACUCUGAAAACCGUGUUCAGUGGUAAAGCGACAGCCAGUGGCUUUUGUGUUGUCUCUUAGAAUCCAGCCUCCAGUGCUGCUUGCCGGGGCCUUGUCUUCUGGGUUGGUGGUUUUGUGAUUGCUUUGUGUGGGUGUUUGAAAAGCCUGUGAGCAGGGAGGGCAUGAUGACUGUCGUUGGAACAGCCAGGUGUUGGUCUCAUUGGAACAGGGAGGUGUGAAGAGCUGUACCGGGUCAGCAGCACCUGCUUGUCUGUACUGGAGUGUUCAGUGUGUAGCCACUAAUCACUUUCUCCCCUUAACAGCAAAAUAAAGGUUUGCGAUUGAAGCUCCUUAGAAUUGUCAUGGCUGUUACAUCCUCGACCUCGGUCACAUCCCUGUUGUAGUUAGGCCUAGGUUCACUGCAGUUAAGAGCAGGUAACCUGGUCUAGACCAGCCGAGAGGGAGGGGCUGGGAGUGGUUGCAGGCAAGAGCCACAGCACACAGGGUAAUGCUGAGUGUCCAGGUAAGGCAGUACAUAAUCCAGGACACUCCCAGGUUGUGUUUAAAUGUUUUGGGUUGGGGAAAGCCAUCUAAAUGGUACUGUGGUAGCUUUUCAUAUUUUCACUCUUGGAAGCUGGCAUGGGCUUGAUUUGGGUCUGAACAUGUAGUUCUCCUGGGCUUGUUUGUGCUGGUGCGUGACUAAGGUUUUUACUGUGGGGAGGGUGUAGGCAGAAUCCUUUGGAAUUCAGGGAGUGGGUCAUUCCUGGCAACAGUCCUGGGUAGGAAUGUAACUGGGUGGUCAUGGGAGCCAGCCCGUACUGAAUGGGGCUGUGCUGUGUUAUUAAAACAGGGAAUGUUGCUUACACUUAAACAGAUUUUGGGCUUCGAACACUGCCAGCUCCUGCUAGGAUAGGAGCCUGCACGCUGAAAGCAAAGGUCAGCCUGUGGCUCUAGCGAACUGUUGUCUUGGCAAGGAUGGAGUAGGGUGGGGACCAGGCAGCGCUUGAGGAGCAGUCUCCCCUGCCGCAGGGGCUGGAGUGUGUAUUUUUCCUUGGUCCAUCAGUGACCUCACACUUGUGCUGAGAAGCCAGAAUGGGGUGUCCUGGAAGCUUUCUGUCUAGGCUUAUGGGACUACCGGGAGUAAGUGCUGCUGAAUAGAGGGGCCUUCUCUCUCCCCACACUUCAUUGUGGUAUUUUGAACGACAAGGUCUCACCAUGCAGCCCAGACUGGUGUGAAUUCUAAGACCCACAACAGCUUCCUCCAGUGCACGCCUGUCUACACACCCUCUUACUGUCUCUGGUCUGUCUCAGCCUCUUUCUGGUUUCUGCCCUUCAUCUUCCCGUGCCAGCAGGCUGGUAAGGAAUUCAUCCCCAGCUAUGUCAGAAAUGGCGGAAGCAGGCUACCCACUGUGCUGUCCCGUGACUUGUAGGAAUGUUGGUUUGGAUCUUCGAGUCAAACUCUUACCCUGUAGCCCAGGUUGGUACGGAACUCAGCAAUCAUCCCUCACCCUCCCAAAUGUUGGGCAUACAGAGGAGAGCCACAGUGUCCCUCAAAGACUGCUCUUGGCCCUCGGGUCAUUGGAUGGCUGUCUUACCGUGAGUGGGUUUAUUUGAACUCUCAGGCGGGAGUUCAUCUGGAAUGCAGCAGGGCUGAGGUCGAUCAUGUUAAGUGACCAAAAGAACCUUUAAUGUGGGCUAACCUGUGCAUUGCCAAGGAGCGCGAGUGGCAUCCAUGUCUUAGCCGUUGCUGAAGAGGAAAUGCAGGUACUUCUGACAAUAUUUGUAUAUCCAUCCCAAAAUAAGGAUGCAAAUGGGACUGUCCAGAGAAAGCCAAACUGGGAAGGAUUCAGGCGGAACGCAGAGCCUUCCCUUGCACAGGUGUCCUCCCACCGUCCCUGGUGAGGACAGCUGUCACCUUCCUCUUUUUUUCCCACAUCUCAAUAGUUCCUUACUGAGUUCUCAGCAGAAAAAGGAUUUACUAUGAUUUUUCAAAAAAGUAAAUGGGGUUAAAAAGUUCAUUUGUUCCAUUAACAAACAUUGUUGGCAUUUGUUUCAGAGAUUUUCUUUCCUUUGACAUCAGCUAUGUGUACUUUACAGCAAUGGUGGGAUUGUACCUCAGUUCUGUCUACAUCUGCUUUUCUAUGACACAGAGUGAGAUCUUUGUCAUGUCAUUCAAAGCAUCUUCUUAGUGGUACCAAAUGCUCUGUUACAUGACUAUUGAAACAGUCCCAUUUAGAUACUGACCUAUGUGAAGGUCAGAGGAUAACUUUCAGGAACUGGUUGUAGGGCUGAAAUUUGGGCCACCAGCUCACAGCAGGAAAUUUUCCCUGCUGGGAAGGCUCACCUUCCGACCUUCAGCUCUUUUCCUUUUGGGAAAUGAUUUAAAGACUUUUAGCUCAAACUUUACCAUAUGUAUUACUGUUUUGAGAUGCUGAAAAUCAGUUUCUAGGGGGAAAUGACUGUCAGUCCUCUUUAGGUUCAUAUUUCUCAGUUACUGUACAGAAGGGUUUUCUGAGCUACGGAUCUGUAUGCAUCUCUGAAGCUGGUGUGUGCACUCCCCAGAGUGGCGUGACCGGCCAGUGCACGGGUGAUUUUACAAUCCAGACUUUCCUUUGUGUGUAGAUCAUUUGUUCAUGUAGUUGUCAUCACAGAUUAUUUCCAUUUGUUUGACUGCUGCCCAACAUUAUGCACAGCAGAAAUCUCCACCGUUUAUAAGUGCCCUUUAGUGGUGUUCAGCUGACCUCCACACCCUGCAAAACCUGGAACUACCCAUCAGGCAACUUAAAGCCUGGGCUCUCUUCCCAGUCUUCUGCUUUAUGUCUCCGUGAGUGACUGUUCCGGGUGCCACAUGUAUGUAGAAUCAUACAGUGUUUACCUUUUAUUUAUAGUGCAUAGGAAUGUGUGUAGUCAGGACAGUCCGAGGGAGGAUCCCAGGGGUCAACCUCAAAUGAUCAGGUUUACACCACCAGCAGCUUUACCCACCAAAACCCACUGUCUAUCCUGUUGACUGGUCGUUUUGCUUACACGACAUCAUCAUAGGUCAUCCUGGUUGUGUGAUUUUCUUUGCUCACAAGCCAAGUAAUUGGUCCUUUGUGUGUUUUCCCCUCUCUGCGUGCUGAUGAGCAGCCCUUGCAUUGCUGCUGCCCUCCGACUUGCUCUUGAGACUUCCAUGCUGUGGGACGGACACAGCUACGUCUUUCUGAGACUGCAUUUUUCAGCUAUUCAGGGUGCAGCACAGCCGUCCUGAUGGACGCAAGACGACAUUCACUGGUCUUCCGUGUGCUUGUCAACCAUGCAGACUUCACGGGGAAAUGUCAACUCAAGUGCUUUUCUUGUUUAAAGGGUUAUGGGUUUGUCACCAUUGUUGACCUGCAGGAUUUGUCUGAAUAUAAUUUGGCAUUUUUUCUUCACUCCAUAAAGUUGCCUUUUGUUGAUUUUUUUUUUUUUUUAUGGUCACACAUACUUGUGUUUUUGUGUGUUUGUGCACGAAUCUGCUCAUACAGUGCUGUGCUUGUGCUGUAGCACUCCUGAAGGUCAGAGGACAACUUUCGGGAGUCAGUCUUUUCAUCCUGUGGACCUGAGUGAGGGCUUGAGCUCAGUAGCCUGUUAGGGUUUGCCAACAAGAACCGUUACCCAAAGCUCUGACAUUGAUAUGUGUUUGCUUUUGUUGCCUGCACUUUUGGUGUCAUUUCUAAGAAAUCCUUGGCAAAUUCAACAUGAUAAUGUUUGUAUUGUUCCUUCCUUGUUUAUUUUUGUUUCUAUAUUUUCCAUCUUUGGCCAUAAGGACUGCCAAUGUUUGGGAGGGCAAAGUUCUGACCAGUUAUAUCUAUCAAGUAUAUUUUCCUCUUAAUCGUUAAGAUGAACAUAUAUGAUGCACAAGGAAUUAAACUGUCAAAGUCUGACCGUAACUGAUAAAUUGGCUUGGAGUUGCUUCUUUUUUUUUUUUCUUCAGCUGCUCAUACCUGGCUUUGCUAUGUGGACACAAAUAUUCUCAUGCAGGUGAAUUUCUCCCAGCGCUAGGAAUGAUGGUAAGCUAUUGCUCUGGUUUUCCCAAUACCGGUCUCAUAAUUAUGUGUCUAAAGUAUUGGACGUUUUCAGGCUCUAGUUUUUUGCUUUUUCAAGUAAGAUAACAACCUUAACAAUUGUUACUUUUAAAUUCUGGCAGGAAGGCACUGUGACACUCCUUAAGUAGCCUCUGUCCCUUAUUGAAACUCGAAUGCACAGACUGAACUGACCGUCCUCGGCUCAUUGCGGCUCUUUUAUUGCUCCCGGUGCUCUUAUAGUUUGUCAGCAUGUCUGCCGACAUCAAUACAAAAACCAGGGCAGUAGGAAAGCAGCUUUCUCCUCCGGGCCUCGCUGCACCCACCUCUCAGGCUGCCGUCACAGUAAAACUCCUUACCCGAGUGAAUUUUUCAGAGCGUCCGUUCUUUUAGCUGUCUGUAACUCGGUAGAAAUGAAUCUCCUGAAAUCUUCUGGACCUUUUUUAAUUGGGUGGGAUUCAUCUCUUUGCUGUGUAGAGACUGUGUUGAUGCAGGUGGCAGGGUUGUUGUCUCUGUCUUCAUAGAGAAGUGCCUCAGACAGCCCAGACUGAGCACUCUCACAAUCCGGGGUCACCAAUGAUUACCAAUAAGUUGUGUCUUGCCAAUCUGCUCAGAUGUCUUUAUGGGAGCCUGCAUCGGUUGGCAGGAUCCCACUUAGCGGCAGGGCAUCCCGUGAACACACAGCUGCCCCUCUCUGACAGCGGGGAACCGACAGCUGGAAGGUGAGAUGGUCCUCAUAGGCAACCCCUUGUGCCUCCUCCUCCCCUCCCCCGCCGUGUCCGAGUGGGUCAGACAACUGCCGUGCCCUGCUUUGCUGCCCUCAAAUGACAAGUGGGCCUGUGUACCCCAGAGUCGGUGUUGGGAUGCCCUCUUAGGCACUUGGCAUGUGAGACUCCCCGUUCCUGCCAGUUGCGCUCUUGGCUCUGUCACACAGGCACAGGUACCCACGGAGACUACCUGCUAUGUUCUGUUCUUGUCAUCUGUGUGUAAACUCGGUAACUGGCUUAGUGACGAUAGGGACCCCAAGGUCUAAGACACAAGAAGGGAUAAUUGUUUAAUUACUCUGGCCUGGAUGUCCUUAAAGUAGCCCUUCUAAGGGGACACGGUUGUGCAGAUUGAGGCAGCCUGGCUGGGUAUAUGCUUCUGUAGGUACUGCUGUAGUGGACCGGGCUGUGUAGCACGACUGUGGAAACUUAGUCUUGAACUUGGAAGUUAAAUAGUGUUUGUCUUCCAUGACAGGUGCCAGUAUUUGUCCCUAAGACAUCUUCCCUUCGUGAAAUUAUCUAACAUUACCAGCUUUUUAAAUGGAAUCAUGUGUAUUGUUUUUGCAACUCUGUAAUUGGUUUUGUCAUGUAGAUGGUAAUUUUGACUCUUUGUCUUACUGAUGUCUUCAGGCAAUUUCCAGGGUUUUCUGGUCAUUGCAAGCGGGGUUUUACUCUUUGGGACACCACUUUGGGUAUCAGAGCCAGGCCUGAAAGAGGCAGAUGACUCCUGGCUGUAGCUCUAGGCUUUCACACAUGCUCUGGCUCCUCUAGUGUCUUGGACUGUCAGUUUUGUUCGGUAGAGUUUCUGCAGGCACAAUCAACUAAGUUUUGUUAGGGCUGGUCAUCCUGGCACUGCGUAUCCUUACCAGAACUUCUCAUUGGGUGAUGUUGUAUUGAUGAUGGAUUUUGAGUCUCUGGCAGUUUUCUGGUUUUUAUCUCAAGCAGGUUAAAAACAAAAGUCAAACCAGGCAUGAUAGUACACACCUGUCAUGCCAGCACUGGGACAGUGGAAGCAGGAGGAUCAGUAUUUAAGGCCAGUCUCUACAGCCUGGGCUGUAGAAAACCUUAUCUGAAAAAAAGCAAACUAUUUUAGGAAGGUGGCUGUGACGCCCAUGAAAGCUGCAUUGCUUGGUGCCUUCAAGAGCUUUCUAGAUCAAGGGUGCUCUAGCCCCUGGGCCACUAGUGCCAGGAGAACAGGUGUGAGCUCCCCCUGGCUCUUCCUUGCCUCUCUGGGUCCAGAAGAGUUGGACACUGUGAUGGGGCCAGCUUCUGCCUGGCACCCUCUUCCUCCCCAGAAGGUCAUGCUGGGCCUCUCCACUUUAGUGACCAGAAUACUGUCCCCUCUGCUGUCUGUAGGGCCCCACUGCAUGUCAGGAUGAGACCUUGCUUUACUCUCUGGUGCUAUCCUGCAAGUUUCCUCCAACUUUUGCUCCUUACAUACCCAGUGGUUGAAGUGACUCGUUCAUGUCAGAACUGCAGACACAGAGGUGGGCACUUGCUCUGUGCAGGCUGGCCACACCCUGUCGUGCAUUAGGGCCGUUUGGCUCACAGAACUGUAGCCGCCUUUGAACUGCUCACUGCUGCUCUGGGGAGCAACUGAGCUGUUGCUGAGGGCAUAUUACUAAGUAGUAAAUACCUACUUACAUGUGUCUUCAUGUGUGUAGACAAGUAUGUCUAUGGGGGAACUUGGAUGCCACUAGCUAGCCUUCUGGAAGAUGGUUCCAGUUGAUCUUUCCCCAACCUUGGCCAAUGCUUGCCCCUAAUGUUGGUUAUUUAUCAGUGUGAGAAGCGAAGUCAUUUUUAAUUAUAGUUUUGAUGGGUAUACUUUCUGAUUUAUAUGUAUUACUUUAUAUGUUAAGGAAAUUAACUAUAUUGCAAACUCUUGCUACUCCCUGACUUUUUAUAUUUUGUUGUUCAGCAUUUUAAAUAUGAAUGUACUUUUUUGUGUUUUUUUUUCUUGCUUUCUGCAUUUUAUGACUAGCUCAGAAAACUUGGUCUUAAUUCAAGACUAUUCUUUGAACCCCAUGCUUUGUCCCACUCCUUUUAAGGUUUUGCUUUUGUUUCUGUUGGUUCUAUCUGGACUUAAUUGUGGUGUAAUGGGUGAUGUGUGGACAGGAAGCCUUCUCUUGCUACACAGAAGUGGGCACUGGCUGGUGUGCGCCUGUAUCAGGCCAAGUCUGCGUGUUGCAGCUUGUGCUUUGAUAGAUGGUGAGGGCAAUCCUACCUCAGCUCAACUCUUCCUAAGUUUCCCAUGCUAUUCGUGUAUGGUUAUUUAACCUUCCUUGGUGUCUUGAUUUUCUUCCUAUGUGUGACUAAGGUUUGUCUUUCCAUUUUCUACCCGUGGCUCAGCCUAACCUGACUGAACUAUUUCUUACACGUCUGUUCAUACAGGUGCAGGAUGAAGACAGAGGACAUGAUUGGUUCUUUUCUUCCACCGCCCAGCUCUGGGGAGUGAGCUCAGGCUGGCAGAUUUGGCAGUGAGCACCCUCACCUGCUGAGCCAUCUCUGUGGCUUUGACUUUGUAUUAAAUCAAAAUGUAUGUGAUUAGGCCAGGUGUGGUAGCGCAGGACUUUAAUCCCAGCACCCAGGAACAGAGGGAGGCUCUGAGCUCAAGGACAGCCGGAGCUACACAGAGAAACUCUGUCUCAAAAAAAACAAAAAGAUAUGUGAUCACCAGUGUUAGCCUGUACAGUUGGAAGACCUCGGUUGGUCCAGCUCUGUGUCCUGUCCCUUUCCAAAACAGUUUGCUCUGUCACAGAAUACUUCCUGAAGCUUACACUUGUGGGGGGGAGGGGGAUUAUACAUACCAUGAGGCACACGGGGCGGUUACAGGACAACUUGCAGAUAAGCGUUCUCUCCUUCCGUUGUGUGGGUGGCAGGAAUGGAACUUAGGUUGGCAGGCUUGGUGGCAGGCCCUUGCUAAGCCAUCUCGGUGGCCCACAGAGCACUUCCGUGUAUUUAUUUUUGGUGGUUACUUAUUGCUGUCAUAUUGUCGGUUUGGUACCUUUGUCAUUGACGUGUCCCGUAACACACUGUUGUGAUAAAAAUGUCAAUGCGCUUAUACAAACCUAGUGAAUUCCACCCACAAGCCAGAUGUGGGUGGUGAUCCCAGUGCCUGGAGGGCAGAUCUCUGAGUUUGAGGGCAGCCUGGCCUGCAUAGUGAGUUUCUGGACAGCCAUGGCUACAUAGUCUCAACAACAACAGCAUACCUCUCUGAACAGUAAAAUUGUACCCAAGGUCACAGUCAGGGAAAGGACAUGAGGGCUGCUCUCUGAGGCCCUGCAUGAGGGUGGUCCCCUCAUGGGCAGUUCUGUAGACCUGGCCCUGGCAUGCCUGAAUGGAGUCAUGUUUUAGUGGCUGCUGUGUUCCAGUCUGACCUGCUUUUUCCCCGUCCCAGCUUUCUAGACCUUUGAAGGAGGCGGUAUUUAAUUCCUGUUUUGGUUGGUGUGUUUACUGAUUUAUAAUGCUCUUUGUUUACAUAUUUUGAUGUUUGGUGUUUCAAAUAUUAAGAAAAAAACCUCAUUACUGUUAAUUUUUUUCUUGCUUUCUGCAUUCUGUGAGCUCAGAAAGUUUGGUCUAAUUUAAGAUUAUUCUUUGAGGUCCAUGUUUUGUCCCACUCUGUCUCUGUCUGGACUUACCUUGCUGUGAUGAGCAAGGAAGUAAGCCUGUUGUGGCCCCCCAUUUACUGAGUAAUUCUGGACAAAAUGGACCGAGUGUCUGGACAGGGACCAUGUGGUUCCCUAGGGCAACCCAUCUUCCUCCCCAAGCCCGCUGUGUGGCCACCUCAGAGACGCGCAGCAGCUUUGUAGUGCGUCUCUGUCUGCUUGAGAUGUUUCCUGGCUUACUGUUGGGAAAGAGCAAGGACAAGUUCUUUCUCAGGAGAGAACUUUCUGGUCCAGAAUUUAGAACUGGCAAACCCUGAAACUGUAGAUGUCAGGUGUGUUCCCUGUGGAUGAGGUCCAGCCGUUCCCAGCAAUGACCGGAGGCAGCUCCGAGGUCUAGCAGCUCCGUCUUUGAUUUUGCUCUUUCUGGUAUUUAGAAAGAAAAAUAAAAAAGUAUCUGUGUUUGGGCUUGGUGCUGGGUUGUGGCCCUCGUCUGACGAUAACUCUGCAGCUGUAACUUCUGGAACACGUGUGGGUUCUGCUGGCUCCGGGUCGCCAUCCUGCUUGUCUUUCUCCCGGCGCUCUGUGGGCGCUCCUUUCAUCUGUCCUGCACGAUCGAUGCUUUUUACAGUGUGUCUGAAACAGGCCUGGCAGCCCUUGCUAUCAGCAUGUCACGAACAUCAUGCUUCCUCUUGGCUCCAUUUUGACAUUCAAUCCUUAAGCUUCUAGAAGUUGCCUGGGUAUAGAGCAAGAGGUAAGAAUCUAACUUGGUUGUUUCAUAAUAGCUGGUUUCCUUAGCGCCGUGAAUCACAGCUAACUAAUGAUAGUUUCUCUGGUCUCCUUGCCUGGAGUUGCCUCUCCCUAGGCUAUCCCAGUGCCUUUCCCAAUUUUGUGCGUUUGAAUUACGUCAUGAUUCAGGUUCCUGCUUUGUGUGUGCGCGUGCGCUUCUCCCAGGAAGUUUGUGCUACACAGAAAGCGGUAUCAGUGCUGACGUGCUCAGUGUCAGCACGCAGCUUGUUAGCUCACAGGCAGCGGAGGGACAUCCCAGGUGUGUUCAGGGUCCCGGUGCACUCCUGCCUCGACAGAUGAAGGUCAGUCACCAUUGCCACCCAGAUCGCUUGGGAAACUCGGUAGAGAGGGACUUGGAGCAGGCGCAGACGUUUUUAAUAAGGCGGGAACCAAGGCCUCUUCCUGUAGGUUUUGUACAUUUGUGAAAUUUGUUCCUUGAAAAGGCUUGUUUUGGCCUGUGGCUGGAUGUGGGUUUCUGUCAAAAGUGUCUCACGGUAGGUAACUCAUGAAAAGACGUGUCACCGCACUCUGCCCUGUAGCUGUAGACACUGGCUUCACUAGUAGGGUGGGCCGUCGGGAAGGCAAACAGAGUGGAUGGACUGAAGAGCACAGGAUUUGUGUCAGGAUGCCAGCUCUCACCCUGGGCCUGUCUCUUGUUUACUUCAUGACCCUCGUGCUGCCUUGUUGCUUGCUGCCCAUGUGUUAGAAGGUUAAUCAUGAUCUCUCGGGCUUGAGUUCGGGCGAGUGAAAUAACACAGUUCUUUCGCACUCUUGACACGGGAUAGGCCUGUCCCCCUGGGUUUUCUAGUCAGGAACAGUCGUCUCUGAUUUUGUUCCCCUGUGGGGCCUUUGUGUCUUCCAUGCAUCUCUCCCGUUUUGUUAUGUUGUAACUACUUAGACGCCAUGAGCAUUAUCGUCAUGUUCCACACAGCCUACCAGUGAGAUUCAUCAACAGACAGCAGAGUCGCACUGGCCCUGGGAGAUGCGUGCCACCCCUGACCCCCCUUCGUGGCGCUUUGAGCGGCCAUUGUUCUGGACUUGGAGUGAUCCGCUUGGGUUCUUUGUGGGGUGGUUGGAUGGUUGGUUUUGUUUAUAGUAUUUUUAAAUAUUUAUGUAUUUCACUGUUCCUUUUUUAAUUUUGGUGAAACUAUGACGUUUUCUUUUAAAGUGUUAGUUUCUGGAAAGUUUGAGCUGAAUAUGUGUCUCAAAAUCUGGCUUGGAGGUGGCAGUCCCGUGGUUGGUGCAUUCAGUACUGUGAGCUGCUGACUCAUUCAUCACUCAAAGGCCUCUGUCUGUUCUUCCUCUCAUCCCCAAGGACUCUGUGCUUUCUGCCCAGUGACCCUGCCUCCUCUCAGUACCUCAUGUAAGUGUAAUGGGACAUGUCUUCCCUCACGUGGCAUAAUAUCAUCAAGGUCCAUCUGAACUGCAGUGAAUUGUAUGGAUCCGUCUUCCUCAUUGUGUCCGAAAACUAUUCCCUUGCAUUGAUUGAGCACAUUUGUCUGUCCGUUCCAUUGGAGGCUGGAAGUGUUUCUGCUUGCCUGGUGCAACCAAAGCUGCUGUGAACAUUCGUGCUCCGUCUCCUUGCGGAUGUGUUUCCGCUGUCUGUGCAUGGGAGGAGAGCGGCUUCCAGAUGACACAGUAGCUUCACACUUAAUUGCUCCGAGGAGCUGCCAACUGCACUUUUACAUCUCUGACGUCUCUGCACUCUCAGCAGCCCUCCCACUCCGUGUCUGGCUCUUGGCCUUUGUAGUGGAUGUAGUUGUGAAGAGGCAGCGGGGGCGAUUCGACGCCAGGAGCAUGCCAUUAGACCCGGCCUGUGCUGAUGUUUCCUUUUUCAAUAAAGAACAGCUUUAUUAGAAAAAUGGAGAUAGCUGUCUGCUAGGUUGUAGAAGGGUCAAGCUCUGUCUUGACGUCCUGGAAGACUUGGGCUCCAUCUGAACAUCCCUCAUUCUUCAUUCUGGAGUUGAGCAAAGACAUCUGGGCUCCACGUGAGACCCUGGAUCCCUGAACUGAGCCUGUUACUGCUAAUCCUUUGAAUGCUGGAGGAUUUCUGUGGCCUCAAGACUGAGCUGUACUGUCACCAGGGUACCCGGUGUUCACCCUGGAGGCGCUGGAGUGCUGCGCCUAGAGGAUGGAUCUGCCUUUCUGCAAAUGACAAACUCCUGAGCAGGCAGGAUGCCGCGUUAACACCCAACACUUCGAGAACAUGUCUUCUUCUGGAGCAGCCGCUCAGUUGGUAUAAGGUUGUAAGUCACCAGGGAAGGUUGGGAUCAGGGUGCUGUUAGUGACAAUCGGGAGGUCUUGUCUGAGCACAACCUUUUCUAGAUGGUUCUUAAGUUUUUGGUUCUUAGGUUUGUUUGUUUUUCAAGGGACAAAAUCUCAUUGUGUUACCCAACUGGUCUCAAGCGAUCUUCCCACUUUAAUCUCCAAGUACCCAGGACCACAGGCUGCCUCUGGCCCAUCUACAUUUCUUUGUUUUUAUUUAUGUAUUUUGAUGUGUGUGUGUUUGUAGGUGUUUGCUUGCAUGCAGUGCCCAUGGAGGCCAGAAGAGGGCAUCAGAUCCCCCAGCCUGUAGUUAGCAAAUGAUUGUAAGCUACCAUGUAGGUGCUGGGAUUUGAACCUGGGUCCCUGGAUGAAUGGUCAGUGAUCUUCCUAGCUAAGCUACUUCACCAACACCACCACUCAAAGGCCUCUCCUCAACAGUGAGGUGGGGUGAAUACAGGGUGAGGCCGAGGGGCACAGUGUCGGGCAGGGGAGGGCUGACCCCCUCUUUGCGACUUCAUCCCAAGGAAUGCACAGCAUACACUGUCCCAUGACACCAGGGUGCUCCUCUCUGGAGGCUCGGUGGCUCUCGGGAAGUCAUUGUUCUAGGGUCACUGGACUAUUCAAUAUUUCCAUGCCAUUGUAAAGUCAUAUUUACAAAGUUUGUUUUCCAAGAAAGUUGCCAUUUCCUGCACGCUAAUGUAGAGGGUUUGUUUUUGGGUUUUGUUAUAAAUAUAAUUUGACAUCCUCAUUAAGAAUGGUUUUUCUUCCGGUUUAAUCCCUCAUUUUUCUUUCUCUCGAAUAGACUUUGAAGACAUCCAGUUUGGCCUUUUCCAAGAAGCUUUAGAUGAAGCAAGCAGCCCUCUCUGGGUUUUGUUUUGAGUUUUGUUUCGGUGCUGGGCGUGAAACCCUGUGCACCCAAGGCACACUCCACUGCUCAGCUCUGUCCCCAGACCUCAGCUACUGCGGAGGGUUAGUUCCACUUGGGUCUCAUUAAUUCUUCUCUCCUGGUCUCUUUGGAUUUUACGUUCUUAUGCAGACUUGCUCUGGCUCUGGCCUUCGGCUACAGGCGAGGCCCUCAGCUGCUGAGAGUAAAGUAUUUCUGAGGAGGCCUCUUGAAACCACUAAGGAGUGAGUGCUCAGCAGGCCCCUGGGGUUUCCAGCAAAGGAAAGUAGUGAACUGUUGGCCAUGGUUUCAGGUUUCACCAGACCCUUCAUCAGCAUCCCUCUGCCCUCCCGAGCAGUGAACACCAACAAGGUGACUGUCUGUCCUCAUCUUCACAGAAACAGGCCUCUGAAGGUGGUGACACAAGCCAGGAAUAAAAGCAACAGUUGCCCUCUAGCUACGGCUCAUAGUGCAGCCAGGAGUGAGUAGAGGCCCCACUAGGCCGAGGCCUGGGAGCCCUCGCCUGGGGCUGCCACAGCUUCAGCCAUGAGGGUGGCAGGUGAGGGCCUGGCUAUGAUCCAUAAGCUUCCAUAUUUAGAGAUGGACAGAUUUGCUCUCUCUGCUUUGGUUUUAGUUCUGCUGUGUGGUUUAAACCUAGCCCUCCAGCUGCCAAGUGAUGGGCAGUUUUCACUUCUCAGAUGCCACAGCUUGUGUGCGGAGCAGUGUGGAGUGAUCUGAGGAAGCAGGGAUGUAGUGUACAGCAUGAGGCUCCCUCUCUUAGUUUGUUUUGGUUUUGCUGUUGUUCUUGGGUAUUCGGUUUUUGAGGCAGGGUCUCACUGUAUAGCCCUGGCUGUCCUGGAACUCACUAUGUAGACCAGGCUGCUUUGUCACAUUACCCUUCCCUGUGUUCUGAGGAUAAAUCUAUGGUUGUCUCCUUGAGCAGUGAAAGGUUUGAGCUGCAUUUCCUGUCACCACUUCAUCUGCUGAUACUAGUCCAUCCACUACAACCCCCAUGUUCGUCACGCACACGCACACUCCCCCCUCCUCUUGAUUGCAGUGACUCAAGUUUUUUUUUUUUUUACCCAGUUGUGGUUGGUGUUAUUUGGGGGUUUUCCAGGUCGUGUUAUGGUCUGCCCGGUUACCUACGCUGAGAGGGUGUGCCCUUUGGAUUCAGGACAUUCCAGGGAGUGGCCUUGUCCCUGUGAGCAGGUGCCAGCAUGUGUCACUCCUAGUGGUGUAGUGACCCCAUUAUUCCCCAGAGCUGGCCUUGGGCCUUCCUGCCCUCUGCUUCCUGGACGGUCCCGGGCCACCAUGAAGGCCGCUGCCCUCUGCCCACCGUUCUCACUGCCUUUUUCACUUCUGCUCAUUGAGAAGCCAUCUCAACCCCCACCUUUUAACCGGUGGUCUUAUUCCCCAUGUUGCUCAAGUCUUGGGCUUGCUGCAGUCACACUGGGGGUCCUGUCACCACCAUGUUGAAUUAACCCUUUGCUCAUCUUACAGGCUGUGUUCUGACUCCCCCAUUUCCGAGGGCUUGUAAGGCCCAAGCUUUAUGAGUGCGUUUCAGGUUGGGACUUAGAUGACCAUCAGCCGCUACAGUGAGUAAGUCUGCUUUUUGCCCAGUGGGGAGCCGAAGGGAGGCUGGGAGAGAAAGAAGGUACCAGCCAGGGGGAGAUGGGGCAGGGAACAGAGGUAGGGGGGUCUGCAGGGGCUGGCCUGCCUGGCAGUCCACGAACGUAUGUGUCUUUGUGUGUGUGUGUGUGUGUGUGUGUGCGCGCGCGCGCGCGCGCUCUUGUGCACGCAGGCUUAUGUGUGUCUGCUGUGUUUGCAGUUGUGUGCAUGUGAGUCUGCCAGUCUACUGUGCAUAACUGUAAAGACACUAGCGCUAGUUUGCUCUGUGUAAAUGUGCACACGUGAGUCUACUGUGCUUGCGUAUGUGUGUAUGUGAGCCUACAGCGUGUUUGCGUAUAUGUGUGAGCCUGCGGCGUGUUUGCAUAGGUAUGAGCCUGUGGUGUGGGUGUGAAGUGGAGCGGAGCUGGCUGCUCAGCUUCCUGGGCGUGACCAGCCUUUCUUCUCAGCCUGGCCUGACCCAGGUGCUCUGGGCAGGUUACAGCCUUCAGUUUCCCACCUGGACCCUGCCGAGGACAUGGGUUCUCAAGCUUCUUGAAACUCACAGAAGGGGAUCCAGGGUCCGCCCCCGAGACCCAGAGGCCUACAGGGUUUACAGGGUGCUCUGGGACCCCCGUGGCUCUCCUCCUGGCACGUGGACGGCAUGCUAGAGAGAGCUGGUGGGCACUCUGCUUCGCACUGACUUCACUUGCCAACCGUGGCAGUGCCCUGGAAGGACUCCGCCGUGACCACAAGCUCAGAAUGAAAGGCAGGUGGCUGGCACCCAGCAGACCCCGACGACGGUGCACUCUGGCUAACUAAGUGCUGAAGGCUCCCUUAAUCCUGAGAUGGGUUUAAUUGUGAGUUCCUGCCUAAAGUUGGAAACCACGAGGAAAAGUAUAAAAGGAAAGUAGCAUCCCUCUUCCCUCUCCUACCCGGCCCCGCCACACAGAGGCCGCCCUCUGGUGGCUUAGAAGCUUUCUGGAAACUUCUACUCUUACAAACGUGUUUCACCUGACCCUGUCUCAGAACAAGUAGGCCAGAACCUGUGAUUCAGCUUUUGGGCCUGAGUUGAUGAUGCACUUCUCAUGCAGGGUGGAGCACUUGUACUGAGGGGCAGGGGGACUUGAGUGCCCCGAGCCUUCUCCAGGGUGUUAGGACAGGCAGCAGCCAUCCUGGGAGGGACACGGAGCCGCCGCAGGUGUUUCUUUUCCUGACCGCGGCCCAUGGCCGCGCUCAGGUUUUGCUUUUCACCUUUGUCUGUGAGAACAUGAGCAGGAAAAAGCAAAA